UACGUAGGGGGCUAGCGUUGUCCGGAAUCAUUGGGCGUAAAGCGCGUGUAGGCGGUCCGGUAAGUCCGCUGUGAAAGUCGAGGGCUCAACCCUCGAAUGCCGGUGGAUACUGUCGGGCUAGAGUGCGGAAGAGGCGAGUGGAAUUCCUGGUGUAGCGGUGGAAUGCGCAGAUAUCAGGAGGAACACCAAUAGCGAAGGCAGCUCGCUGGGACGGUACUGACGCUAAGGCGCGAAAGCGUGGGGAGCGAACAGG
rnacentral:rRNA from 1 species